UACAGACCACUGAUGGGAGACCCCAAUUCGGAGAUCUUCCAGUCCACAGAGAAAGUGCUCACCACACUGUUUGGGAGAGUCACUGCCACCACCAGCAUCGGUCCAGCGUUUCUGGGAUGUAAAGUCACUACUCUGAGGCCUGUGAGAAACAGAGGUGACACCGGCAUGGACGCCCUCUGCACGUACCGAAAAGACUCCACCGGGCCCGUUUUUG